UCCCUGGUGGCCUAAUGGUUAAGGACUCGGCAUUGCCCCUGCUGUGGCUCAGGUUCAAUCCCUGGCCUGUGAA
rnacentral:tRNA from 1 species